AGGCCCGAAGAGAGGCAGGGUCUGAUCUGCAGCCUCCAUGGCAGCUAUUGAUCAGCCAUUGCCUCUCUUUCUCUCCA
rfam:Myotis brandtii contig173305, whole genome shotgun sequence.